ensembl:snoRNA
CCCCCCUGGCUAUAAGCAAAGAGACACCUUGGUGGUGGUGGCGUUCUUCUAUCAGUCAGGGGCGGCGCAGAUGACAGUCCUUUGUUCAUGGCUUGAUGCCUGGCUUGGUGGCCAACUCCAUCUUAUGCUUAGAACUCAUAA